rnacentral:tRNA from 1 species
GGAGCGAUGGCCGAGUGGUUUAAGGCGGUGGUCUUGAAAACCACUGUACGUUUCUGCGUACCGGGGGUUCGAAUCCCUCUCGCUCCG